UCUUAUAUUUCACACGUCCAUGUUCCACAUAGUUUUUCAACCUUUGCCAAGUCAACAUAAUGGUAAAAAUGGGACAGGCACACGGCAAAUUCAAUUUAGUUAUAUAUAGCAAAAUAAUGUUAUCUUGGAAAAGCACCAUUCAACGCAACAUUUCUGAUCAAGAGGUGAAAGUGGAAAAUUAUUGAAACACUUGUCUGCAUUCCACAAGGCCUAUAUCAACCAAAAGAAGAAAAAGGGAAUCUCAUUUCAUUAAGAAAUAGAAGACAUGGCCCCACUAGCUUUGAAAGAGAAGCCUAUUUAGGAGAGAAGCAAUACGUUUUGGUGUGCUGAUUGGAGAGGUCCAUCAUAUGGCUUUGCUACGUAACAUUAGCUUGCUACUACAUCUACACAAUUAAAAUCACACAGUUGCCAAGGAAGACCACGGCUGGAAUUAAUACUCCACCACCUCUCGGUUGAAACGGCAAAUUGGAGAAUGGAAGUGGCAUCAGGUGGAGGUGUUCACGGCUCUCUCAGAAAUUGAUUGGAAAGUGAUAGCAUGGCCCAUGACAACCACGUUGGCACACACCAAAACAUCACAAAUGCUUGAAUAAAAAGGGCCACCACUCUCGAAGCAGCGCAUGAGAGAUUGAAGUAAGUGAGUGAUAGUUGAGGAUUUACCCCUUUCAUUAGAGAAGCCACAGUGCAGCAAAGAUUAAAACACACGGCCCUUGGACAACUAAGGAUCAACAAAAUAUAUGAAGGGAUAAAAAGCGGGAGCAGCCACUGAAGGGAAUAUUAUCCUCACUGAAAAGCUUAGCAGAGGACGUGGAGAGCAGGCCAUGAUUGAACGGAAAGAGAUGGCUCAUAGCUGGCUGGGUUUUCCUUUUUGGAAAGAGGAGACUUACAAGCUCAAAAGGAGGAACGAAUAUACACAUUCGGUUACAUUUUUCAGAGAGUGGGAUAUACCACUUUUAGUUACAGAACUCUUGGCUACACAUGCUCGGAGUUUUUGGUUUGGAACUUUUGGCUGUGAACGUUUUUGUUGGGAGACACCACUCUCUUGGCUGGAGCUCUCUGCAGACAUCAAUUGGUUGGAGAGCAAGGAGUGGAGUAGAUGUCACGGCUACUGGAAGAGAAGAGUUCUGGUUGAGUUUUGAUGAGCACGACACCCAGCAGAGAAUGGAGUUUAGCUUCAAUAGGUUCUGUUUGUCUUACUGUUAAUGCUUGAACCAAUAGUGAAUUUAUAGUUCUAAAUAUGUGGAAGAAUACGUACUCUUCCCUCUUUGCUGUUAACGUGUUUGUGUAGUGUCAUUUCCAAUUUGAAUUGAAUUUGGUUGCUUA